UACGAAGGGGGCUAGCGUUGCUCGGAAUCACUGGGCGUAAAGCGCACGUAGGCGGCUUGUUAAGUCAGGGGUGAAAUCCUGGAGCUCAACUCCAGAACUACCUUUGAUACUGGCGAGCUUGAGUUCGGGAGAGGUGAGUGGAACUGCGAGUGUAGAGGUGAAAUUCGUAGAUAUCUGGAGGAGCGACCGGUGGCGAAGGCGGCAUCCUGGACCUACUGACUGACGC
rnacentral:rRNA from 1 species